rnacentral:rRNA from 1 species
UACGUAGGGGGCAAGCGUUGUCCGGAUUUAUUGGGCGUAAAGCGCUCGCAGGUGGUUCGUUGCGUCGUGCGUGAAAGACCCCGGCUCAACUGGGGAGUGUCGUGCGAUACGGGCGGACUGGAGGCCAGUAGGGGGAUGCGGAAUUCCGGGUGUAGUGGUGGAAUGCGUAGAGAUCCGGAGGAACACCAGCGGCGAAGGCGGCAUCCUGGACUGGUCCUGACACUCAUGAGCGAAAGCGUGGGGAGCGAGUCCGG